AGAAUCAACGCUGGCGGCGUGCCUAACACAUGCAAGUCGAACGAGAAAGUGGAGCAAUCCAUGAGUAAAGUGGCGCACGGGUGAGUAACACGUGACUAACCUACCUUUUAGUGGGGGAUAACCUAGGGAAACCUGGGCUAAUACCGCAUAAUACCUACGGGUCAAAGCAGCAAUGCGCUGAAAGAGGGGGUCGCGGUCGAUUAGUUAGUUGGCAGGGUAAUGGCCUACCAAGACUGUGAUCGAUAUCCGGCCUGAGAGGGCGCACGGACACACUGGAACUGAAACACGGUCCAGACUCCUACGGGAGGCAGCAGUGGGGAAUUUUGCGCAAUGGGGGAAACCCUGACGCAGCAACGCCGCGUGGAGGAUGAAGUCCCUUGGGACGUAAACUCCUUUCGAUCGGGACGAUAAUGACGGUACCGGAAGAAGAAGCCCGGCUAACUUCGCGCCAGCAGCCGC
rnacentral:rRNA from 1 species